UGAACCCCUUGGACCUCAGAGUGUAC
rnacentral:piRNA from 1 species